UCUGGAGGACUAAGAAAGUAGAACCAGUAAAGUCAAGUGGCUUCUACUGAUACUCUCCUCCUAAAGUAAAUAGUGGAAGAACAGAGUCUGUCUGUGAGAUGAAGACAGGCACUACUUACUCUACCAACAGUG
ensembl:scaRNA